rnacentral:rRNA from 1 species
AGUGAACGCUGGCGGUAGGCCUAACACAUGCAAGUCGAACGGCAGCACAGUAGAGCUUGCUCUUACGGGUGGCGAGUGGCGGACGGGUGAGGAAUACAUCGGAAUCUACUUUUUCGUGGGGGAUAACGUAGGGAAACUUACGCUAAUACCGCAUACGACCUACGGGUGAAAGCAGGGGAUCUUCGGACCUUGCGCGAUUGAAUGAGCCGAUGUCGGAUUAGCUAGUUGGCGGGGUAAAGGCCCACCAAGGCGACGAUCCGUAGCUGGUCUGAGAGGAUGAUCAGCCACACUGGAACUGAGACACGGUCCAGACUCCUACGGGAGGCAGCAGUGGGGAAUAUUGGACAAUGGGCGCAAGCCUGAUCCAGCCAUACCGCGUGGGUGAAGAAGGCCUUCGGGUUGUAAAGCCCUUUUGUUGGGAAAGAAAAGCAGCAGGUUAAUACCCCGCUGUUCUGACGGUACCCAAAGAAUAAGCACCGGCUAACUUCGUG